GUGAACGCUGGCGGUAGGCCUAACACAUGCAAGUCGAACGGCAGCACAGUAAGAGCUUGCUCUUACGGGUGGCGAGUGGCAGACGGGUGAGGAAUACAUCGGAAUCUACUUUUUCGUGGGGGAUAACGUAGGGAAACUUACGCUAAUACCGCAUACGACCUACGGGUGAAAGCAGGGGAUCUUCGGACCUUGCGCGAUUGAAUGAGCCGAUGUCGGAUUAGCUAGUUGGCGGGGUAAAGGCCCACCAAGGCGACGAUCCGUAGCUGGUCUGAGAGGAUGAUCAGCCACACUGGAACUGAGACACGGUCCAGACUCCUACGGGAGGCAGCAGUGGGGAAUAUUGGACAAAGGGCGCAAGCCUGAUCCAGCCAUACCGCGUGGGUGAAGAAGGCCUUCGGGUUGUAAAGCCCUUUUGUUGGGAAAGAAAAGCAGCAGGUUAAUACCCCGCUGUUCUGACGGUACCCAAAGAAUAAGCACCGGCUAACUUCGUG
rnacentral:rRNA from 1 species